rnacentral:lncRNA from 10 species
AAGAGUUUUGCCCCAGAGGAGCUCACAUUCAAUUGGGGGGAGCCAGAAAUAUGAAGUAUUAAUUUCAGUACAAUAUGAAUGUGGACACCACCAUCUAUCACCCGAGAGCUGACUGCCAAUGUUAUUUUUACUUUGGAGAUGACCAAAUAAAAUGAUAGAGCAUUUGUACUCUGUAAAGGACUCUACAAAGGAAGGGAGUUUUUAAUGUGCUGCUCAGGAAGACCUUGAAAUUUCUACCGGAAUUUUUUUUGUAGUUUUCUUUUAUAAGUCCUUGGCAAGACCUCAGUAAGUUUCAAUUGGCUGAAGAUGGGGCAAUUUGAGCAUCAGUAAGAAUAAUACGUGCAAAGGAGAGAAAUGCAUCAAAUAUGUUUACUUCCAUAAAGUAAUUAUCAUACUAAAAUAUUCGUUAGCUUCUUUCAAGGUUGCUGGUGAAAGAAUUCCAUAUUUUGAAAGCUGAUAAACCAGGAGAACCAAGCAUUUAUCAUGCCUUCUUAUAAAAUCUGUACCUCUGGAUAACGAUGUGAGAAAAUUUCUCUUUAGAGAAGUAUUCGGCUAACGAACAAAGGAAGAAUGAUAAAAUUUAAAAUAUCAUCCUUUGUAACUGCUAAAAUAUUAGUGUAUCUGAGAAGUUGUCAUCAAUGGCUGAUAAUGUCAUGAAAAGAGACAACCAGACACUAUGUGCCUCUACAAGGAAAUACACAUCUCCACCUAUGAAGUCUCGCCCGAAAAAACAAAGAACAAAAAAAUACAAUGUAAAUCUGAUCAAGCCUUUAGAUUUAACUACUAAUUUAUAGAAAAUUCAAGAGACAGAGGAACAUUUUAAACAACACCAUGGGGAUGUUAUCAACAAAAUGCAGACUUUGGGAAAACUUCAGAGAGCAGAGACAAUUCACUUCUUAAAAAUUUUUUCAAAGAAGAAAAAAAGAAAGGCAGAAAGGAAACAUAUAAAUUAAAAUGGACAUUAAGAGACAUAUCAAUCAAUUAUAAUAUAUGGAACUUAUUUGGACUCAAGCAAUUUACUGAAAAAUUGUAAGACAGUAGACCAUGGGAAAUAUCACUGACUUGGUAGUUGAUAGUAUUAAUAAUGUAUUGUUAAUUUUUUAUUUGUUUUGAUAAUUGUAUUAUGGUUAAGUUUGAGGAAAAUGGCUUAUUUUUUACAGAUACAGUGUGAUAUAUUUACAGAAGAUAUAAUUUGCUUUAAAAUAAUCUGAGGUUGGGAACUGGGUGGGUAUAUGGAUGAAACAAGAUGGG